UGACAGCUAAGAGCAGUGUGCCACCAGCCCUCCUAGUACCUGAGACAACAAGUCCUUCCUUGAUGGGCUAAUUUAGAAGGCUGGACCCUCAAGCCCCUCUCUCAAAAGGUUGUUACAUAAAGUCUGAUCCUACUUGGCCCUUUUGAGGAGACACGGGUUCGACCCCUAGUCUGGG